rnacentral:lncRNA from 1 species
AUGGAUCAUGUUAAUUCGAAUAUGACAGGUAGAGCCACUUCAAAGUGCAGAAUUAGUGAUAGCCGAAAUACCAUUGACUCAUGUGAUUUGAGCGUCAGUGAAAGUUUAGAAGUUUCAAAUAUAGGUAUUCAUUCCAGCACAUGUGUUUCGGAUAUUGAUUCUAAACAUGUGCCUAUCGACAUAGGAUCUGAAAAUGCCAGAAAAGAGAGAAAAGGAAUUGUUACAGAAAAUGAUGACCCUUCAUCAGAAAUUGAAGAUACUGUAGGUCACUCAAAAAUUCAUGCAGCUGUUAAAUUUGAGUUGGAAAAUAAUUCACCCCAAAUCAGUGGCUCACUAACCAAAAAGCGCGGCAGAGGAAGACCAAAAUUGAAUCCGACAGGGGAGAAUUUUUCUGAAGGAGAUACAAAAUUGACUGAAAAUUCUCUUGCAGAUAAAGAAAUUCCAGAAUCUACAGCUGAUUUUGAUGUUGAAAAAAAUUCACCCCAAAUCAGUGGCUCACUAACCAAAAAGCGUGGCAGAGGAAGACCAAAAUUGAAUGCUACAGGGGAGAAUUUCUCUGAAGGAGAUACAAAAUUGACUGAAAAUUCUCUAAUAGAAAAAGAAAUUCCAGAAUCUGCAGCUGAUUUUGACGUUAAAAAAAAUUCACCGCUAAUCAGUGGCUCACUAACUAAAAAGCGCGGCAGAGGCAGACCAAAGUUGAACUCAACAGGGGAGAAUUUUUCUGAACGAGAUACAAAAUCGGCUGAAAAUUCUUUCAUGGAAAAAGAAAUUGCAGAAUGUACAGCUGAUUCUGACGUAGGAGAAAAUUCAGCCCAAAGUGGGAAUUUUCAAAAGAAAAAGCAAGGUAGAGGGAGGCCGAGGUCGGACAUGACUGUAGAAAAUGUUUCAGCAGAACGCAAGACAGUAAUUGAAAAUGGUUCUCAGGAAACAAGGAAAUCUAAACUUACUGUAGAUUCCCUAAGUAGAGAAAAUUCACCUGAGACUAGUGGCUUGCAGCCGCAAAAACGUGGCAGAGGGAGACCAAAAUUGAAUAUGACUGCGGAAAAUGCCAGGGAAGAAGACAAAAAAGAGAUUGAAAGUGCAGAAUCCAAUGAUUCCAUCGAUGCCUGUACCCUCGAUAAUAAUGAAAGAGCAGGAACCGAGGGUAUUUCCAGUACCAGCAAAUCAGCGCCGUUCAAACGUGGUAGAGGCAGACCAAGUAAGAAACGAAUUAGUGAGGACUCCGAAGAUCACAAUGUAAUUCCUGAAAUUGCACCAUCCCAGAAAAAACAAAGGCGG